rnacentral:lncRNA from 1 species
CAUCUGAACCUUAGAACCCACCUUUGAGCCAGACGAUCUGGAGGAAAGUCCGUGUUCACAGGACACAUUCCUGCAACGUGGCUUGGAGGGCCCACACCAGGGUUUGGCUCAUCCAUGUCGCAAACUAGAGGGGAGGAGGGUGCUGGCUAUUUCCCAUCUGCAGUCUCAGUUUCCCCACCAGAGGAUUGGAGGGAAUACUUGGGUGGGCUGUGAUACAUUCCCAGCACGAACCCCCCAGCGUUGGCAUUGGAGUCGGAGGUUUGGGCAUAGUCGCCAACAUCGCACUUACUUCCAUGCCAGCACCAAGUCUGCGGCUCCCCAGGCCACUCUCACUU